UGCCUCAGUAACGGCGAGUGAAGCGGCAACAGCUCAAAUUUGAAAUCUGGCCCUCUCAGGGUCCGAGUUGUAAUUUGGAGAAGAUGCUUCGGGUGUGGCCCCGGUCUAAGUUCCUUGGAACAGGACGUCACAGAGGGUGAGAAUCCCGUACGUGACCGGUGGCCUCCCCCAUGUGAAGCUCUUUCGACGAGUCGAGUUGUUUGGGAAUGCAGCUCAAAAUGGGUGGUAAAUUUCAUCUAAAGCUAAAUAUUGGCCAGAGACCGAUAGCGCACAAGUAGAGUGAUCGAAAGAUGAAAAGCACUUUGGAAAGAGAGUUAAACAGUACGUGAAAUUGUUGAAAGGGAAGCGCUUGCAACCAGACUUGCGCGCGGCCGAUCAUCUGGUGUUCUCACCGGUGCACUCGGUCGCGCUCAGGCCAGCAUCGGUUUAGGUGGUUGGAUAAAGGCCUCGGGAAUGUGGCUCUCUUCGGGGAGUGUUAUAGCCCGAGGUGCAAUGCAGCCCACCUGGACCGAGGACCGCGCUUCGGCUAGGAUGCUGGCGUAAUGGUUGUAAGCGACCCGUCUUGAAACACGGACCAAGGAGUCUAACAUCUAUGCGAGUGUAUGGGUGUCAAACCCAUACGCGUAAUGAAAGUGAACGGAGGUG
rnacentral:rRNA from 1 species